AUGCCCAGCUUGAUCCUAAAAGAUCAGCAGAGGAAUGAGGAAUGUGCAGUGCAUGACCUGACUCUGGACCAAGCAGCAGGUGCCACACAUGCCUUGGAUGUGACCCAGACUCCAACCACGGUGUCUGCAAAGGUGGGAGGCACAGUUACCAUCGAUUGCAAGACGGAUCAGAGUGUUUACAAUGCUCUAUCCUGGUAUCAGCAGAAACCAGGGCAACGUCUAAAGCUCCUGAUCUAUUAUGCAUCCAAAUUAGCCGAUGGGGUUGAUCCGAGGUUCAAGGGCAGUGGAUCUGGGACAUCAUACACUCUCACCAUCAACCCUGUGAAGGCUGAGGAUGCUGGAAUCUACUACUGUUUUGCUGGUUAUGAUUAUCCUGAUAUUACACAGUGA